CAAGUUGAACGAGUCUCUUUUUUCAACCUUUCGAGGAAGAAAAAAGAGACUAGUGGCGGACGGGUGAGGAACACGUAAGAACCUACCCCUAGGAGGGGGACAACAACUGGAAACGGUUGCUAAUACCCCAUAAGCUGAGGAGUGAAAAGGUUCAAACCGCCUAGGAACGGGCUUGCGUCUGAUUAGCUUGUUGGUGAGGUAAAGGCUUACCAAGGCAAUGAUCAGUAGCUGGUCUGAGAGGAUGAUCAGCCACACUGGGACUGAGACACGGCCCAGACUCCUACGGGAGGCAGCAGUGAGGAAUUUUCCGCAAUGGGCGAAAGCCUGACGGAGCAAUGCCGCGUGGAGGAUGAAAGCCUGUGGGUCGUAAACUCCUUUUCUCAGAGAAGAAGUUCUGACGGUAUCUGAGGAAUAAGCAUCGGCUAACUCCGUGCCAGCAGCCGCGGUAAUACGGAGGAUGCAAGCGUUAUCCGGAAUGAUUGGGCGUAAAGCGUCUGUAGGUGGUUUCUUAAGUCCACUGUCAAAGAUCAGGGCUUAACCCUGGGCAGGCAGUGGAAACUAUGAAGCUUGAGUACGGUAGGGGCAGAGGGAAUUCCCGGUGUAGCGGUGAAAUGCGUAGAGAUCGGGAAGAACACCAAGGGCGAAAGCACUCUGCUGGGCCGAAACUGACACUGAGAGACGAAAGCUAGGGGAGCAAAUGGGAUUAGAUACCCCAGUAGUCCUAGCCGUAAACGAUGGAUACUAAGUGCUGUCCGAUUCAAACCGUCCAGUGCUGUAGCUAACGCGUGAAGUAUCCCGCCUGGGGGAGUAUGCUCGCAAGAGUGAAACUCAAAGGAAUUGACGG
rnacentral:rRNA from 1 species